UACGUAGGUGGCAAGCGUUGUCCGGAUUUACUGGGCGUAAAGAGCGCGCAGGCGGUCGUCCAAGUCGCGUGUGAAAGCCCCCGGCUCAACUGGGGAGGGUCACGCGAUACUGGUCGACUCGAAGGCAGGAGAGGGUAGUGGAAUUCCCGGUGUAGUGGUGAAAUGCGUAGAUAUCUGGAGGAACACCGGUGGCGAAGGCGGCAUCCUGGACCAAUAUUGACGCUGAGGAGCGAAAGCUAGGGGAGCAAACGGG
rnacentral:rRNA from 1 species